rnacentral:lncRNA from 1 species
GGUUUUUAAAGCAAGAGUAUAUGAUACUACUAACAUAAACUUUGCAUUCAUUUGAUGGACUAUAUAGUUGUCUUAGGGCCUUAGGAUGACUAUGAACCUUUGUUUAGAUUUAACACGAGCCUAGUGUUGAAUCUCGGUCUAGGGAUGGUGAUUGAUUUUAGUUACGCGUUUAAUCACAUUAAGGCGUGUUGUUCCUAUUGGGCGUUGGACCCGCUACUCCAUUUCAUGCAUAUCAAAUAAAACAAGAAAAUGAGUACUUUAAAGUAAAGAAGAGCUUAUGCUCUUUUACAACAUUUGAUCAAAACAAAUUACUUUAAAGUAAUGAAGAGCUUAUACUCUUUUACAACAUUUGAUCAUAUCAAAUUACAACCAAAAUCUAAUCUACACAUUCCCAUGGUUCAAACAAAUUUGAGACGGCAUUUCACAUAGCUCAAUUAUCGUAAGCUUAGGUUCAUAAUCACCCUUUAAUUAAUUAACACUUUAACUAAUUAAAUUGAAUGCAACAUUUUCAUUUGGU